GGACCCAUUCCCCAGCUGGUGCCUGGGAUUAGCAGUACAGGAGCUGAGUGAGGAAGACUCAGGGCAUAGUGCAAAGGGGUAAUGGGGCGGGACCUGAAGCAGCUGGAGUCCAUUAGGUCCCCAGGAAACCAGUCAACUAUUUAAAAGGAGGAGUCAGCAAUACCUUUGAGGCAGUAACUACUAGUGAGCCACAGUGAGGAAACAAGACGCCCCUGCAAACAAUGGAAGUGACUGUUGUAAAGCAAACUGUGGCAUAACUUUGCAACCUGACCCCCUACCCACCCAGAGGAAUGGAGCGGCCACUGUCUAACAUGAUUUACCUGCUCGAGUUUAUGGAAGGAGCUGGAACUGCUGGUCGUCUCCAUUUGGAAAGCAAGCACGCAGCGCACUAGAGGAAGCACGUCAGCAUCCUCUAGCUCCCGUAAUCCCUUGCUCAUCUCCUGAAAGAGCAGAAGCGCCUCCUCCAGAUUUUUAUCUUUACACCUCUUCACAGAACCCCUGGAAAAAUGAAACCCAGGAUUGUCAUGUUAACGCUGACUUGUUCCAAACACCUCCAGCUGAGAGAGGGGAAGAGUUCAGACUGCAGUUAUGGUCAGUAUGGUUUCGGAGCGGGACAGGGAAAACUACAGUGCUUUAUCUGCCUUUUGCUUAGCACCCAUCCCAAUAGUAUGUAUAGCGCGCAUGUUUAAAUUACAUUUAUUCAUUUAAAUGCAUUGGUCUAGAUUUUCAUAA